rnacentral:rRNA from 1 species
GCUGGCGGCAUGCUUAACACAUGCAAGUCGAACGGUAACAGUCUCUAGCUUGCUAGAGAGCUGACGAGUGGCGAACGGGUGAGUAACGCGUAGGGAUCUGCCUUAGAGAGUGGGACAACUCGGGGAAACUCGAGCUAAUACCGCAUACGUUCUACGGAAGAAAGAGGGCCUCUAUUUAUAAGCUCUCGCUCUAAGAUGAACCUGCGUCCGAUUAGCUAGUUGGUAAGGUAAAGGCUUACCAAGGCGACGAUCGGUAGCUGUUCUGAGAGGAAGAUCAGCCACACUGGGACUGAGACACGGCCCAGACUCCUACGGGAGGCAGCAGUGGGGAAUAUUGGACAAUGGGGGCAACCCUGAUCCAGCAAUGCCGCGUGUGUGAAGAAGGCCUGAGGGUUGUAAAGCACUUUCGUUGGGGAGGAGUAGUACUGCGUUAAUAGCGCGGUAUGAGGACGUUCCCAAAUAAGAA